AUUUUCAGAAUAACUGUGCCCUAAAUUGCCUAGAAAAAUAUCUCAAGAUGACACAAAGGAUUUCACAAAGAUUUCAAGAAUAUCAGCUGCAGCAAUCUGAAGCCUCAACACCUGUAAGAAAUGUGUCAGGGACCUGAUUUUAGCAUUCAAUUAAACUGGAUCACUGAACAAUACUAAAAAUUAUUGAAUACUUCAAAGAUUUUGAUAUGCAUUAAAUCAUGUAUGUCCUUUAAUAUUGUAUCGUCCCCGCCUUGUGGGCUAUAUUUGUGAUAUUACCACUUGACCAAUUUCAGCCAACUUGUGAGACGACGAAUAUAAAAAAGAAGAUGUGGUAUGAUUGUCAAUGAGACAACUAUCCACAAAAGACCAAAAUGAAAGAGACAUCACCGUACGGCCUUCAACAAUGAGCAAAGCCCAUACCGCAUAGUCAGCUACAAAAGGCCCCGAUAAGACAAUGUAAAACAAUUCAAACGAGAAAACUAACGGCCUUAUUUAUGUAAAAAAUGAAGCUUACCUUUGGUUUCCAGACAGUGAUUUGAGUUAUUGACUUAUUGCCAUUUAAUUGUGUUUUUGUUUUGCCCAAAUUUUCAGCAUUAUUUACUUAUAUCUGAAAACUUGAAUAAAUAGAUGAAUUAUGAAUUAGAAAGAAGAACCAAC
rnacentral:lncRNA from 1 species